UACGAAGGGGGCUAGCGUUGCUCGGAAUCACUGGGCGUAAAGGGUGCGUAGGCGGGUCUUUAAGUCAGGGGUGAAAUCCUGGAGCUCAACUCCAGAACUGCCUUUGAUACUGAGGAUCUUGAGUUCGGGAGAGGUGAGUGGAACUGCGAGUGUAGAGGUGAAAUUCGUAGAUAUUCGCAAGAACACCAGUGGCGAAGGCGGCUCACUGGCCCGUAACUGACGCUGAGGCGCGAAAGCGUGGAGAGCAAACAGG
rnacentral:rRNA from 1 species